rnacentral:tRNA from 1 species
GGCGCGUUGGCGGAAUGGUUACGCACACGAUUGCAAAUCGUGCUCAUGCCGGUUCGAAUCCGGCACGCGCCU